CCUACGGGUGGCUGCAGUGGGGAAUCUUCCGCAAUGGACGAAAGUCUGACGGAGCAACGCCGCGUGAGUGAAGAAGGUUUUCGGAUCGUAAAGCUCUUUCGUCAGGGACGAACGUAUUUCUUGUAAAUAAUGAGAGAUAGUGACGGUACCUGAAUAAGAAGCCACGGCUAACUACGUGCCAGCAGCCGCGGUAAUACGUAGGUGGCAAGCGUUGUCCGGAAUUAUUGGGCGUAAAGCGCGCGCAGGCGGGAUAUCAAGUCUGUCUUAAAAGUGCG
rnacentral:rRNA from 1 species